UAACAAGAGACGUGAGAAUGACUGUCCCAUCCCAGCAGUCUCCUGAUAAUUAGCUGAGGAACUUCUGCUUGAAAGAAAAUUCUAAAAAGGGAAUUAACGUUACCUGCAAGCCCUGCAGAAGGUUUCCAACAUCUGCAGGAAGUUUAAUAGGAAGCUGUAAAGGGAAAACAAGCAGGAAGAAUGAAGAAUGGCUUGAAAUAAACCAGUAAAUUGUAAACACCACAGGCUUAUUAAGAAACAAUGCCCAGACUAUGAGC